CUCCAGCUGAAGUGGGAGGCCAUGGUGACCAGAGGAGAGCCAGGGGACAUGAGACAUGGUGUAAUAGCAACUGAGCUGGUCUUGGCUCAGGUCAGGGCCAGGGUCAGGGGGCAGGGUCACAAGAAAAGUGAGAGUUUCAUGAGUUUAAAGCACAGAAUGGACAGGUCCAGUAACUUAUUGUCCAAAUUCUUUUCCCUGCCUCUAGGAAUUCAGGCAUGCCCAUUACCUGGGGGUGGAACUUCCCUGCCUCUACCAUGAAGACAAGAUCGCACCAGUGAAACCCAAUUCCCUACCAUCCACCACGUGGCCAAGAUUGUGCUGAUGGCUUCUUUCAG